CCUGUAAAACAUUUGAAAUAAGUACAAUAUUUCUUACUUUGUGUACUGUUUCAUGUUUUUGGUUUGACAGUGGAAGGGUUACCGUGACUCAAUAUGAAAUCAUAAAUUCAGAAAUGUUUUAUCUAAAUAUCUGUGCUUAAUAUAUUUAUAUAAAAUACUAUGGAUGCAUCUUGUUAUUCAAAUUCAAGUUGUGUUUUACUAGUUUUCUAUUUAAGUAAUUGUAAUUAUGAGCCACAUUUGAAAUAGAGGUUACGAAAAGCAGAUAUUGACAUGAGUGGGUAAAUGCUUUUUUACCUUGAAUCAGAAACUUUUGGUACACUGAAACUUUUAUAGGUUUAAAAACAUUUUUAAAACCUGCAUAUAAUUGUGGAGUAUUCUAAUUACAUUUUAUAUUUAAUAAUUUAUUUUUCUAUUUCUUUGUUAUAUUAAGUUGCACACUUGUUUCUUUUAUCCAGAGAGUUUAGUAUAAUAAAAAUAGUUUUCUUUAAGAUUAACUGUGAAUGUAAAAGAAAAGUAUUAUUAAUUAUUUCAGGAAAUUGCAAGACCUAACAUGGCUGAAAGAGAAACAGAAACAUCAAAUUCUGAAAGUAAACAAGAUAAAGCUGCUUCUUCAGAAGAAAAAAAUGGAUGUAAUGCAAAUUCAUUUGAAGGCUCAUCAACAACAAAAAGUGAAGAAAGCAUAACGGUUUCAGAUAAGGAAAAUGAAACCUGUCUUGCAGACCAGGAAACUGGCUCAAAAAACAUCUUCAGUUGUGAUUCAAAUAUUGGUGCAGAUAAAGUGGAAAAGAAGAAACAAAUACAACACAUUUGUCAGGAAAUGGAGUUGAAGAUGUGCCAAAGUUCAGAAAACAUAAUCUUAUCUGAUCAGAUUAAAGAUCACAACUCCAGUGAAGCCAGAUUUUCUUCAAAGAAUAUUAAGGAUUUGCGAUUAGCAUCAGAUAAUGUAAGCAUUGAUCAGUUUUUGAGAAAAAGAGAUGAACCUGAAUCUGUUAGUUCUGAUGUUAGCGAGCAAGGCAGUAUUCAUUUGGAACCUCUGACUCCAUCCGAGGUACUUGAGUAUGAAGCCACAGAGAUUCUUCAGAAAGGUAGUGGUGAUUCUUCAGCCAAGACUGAUGAAGUAGUGUCUCAUCAAACAGAUGACAUUCCUGGAGGAAAUAACCCUAGCACAACAGAGGCAACAGUAGACCUGGAAGAUGAAAAAGAAAGAAGUUGAAAUUAGUCAUUUUAAGUUUCAGUGUACCAACGAUAAGGGCAUUUGGAACAGUGCUAUCAGGUGAGCUCAGUGGUGCUGUUGUAGGUUCAGAAAUGGAAAUAUGUAAGGGAGGUCACACAUACACUUUACCUGUAUGUUCAACCUAUGUUAUCAAACAAAUCAAUUCACCAAUAAUAGCAUGAUUAGUAGGGAUUCCCAAA
rnacentral:sRNA from 1 species